rnacentral:sRNA from 1 species
UCACAGUUCUUAUCAGUGAUAUUUGUGC